rnacentral:rRNA from 1 species
GACAGAGGGUGCAAACGUUGUUCGGAAUUACUGGGCGUAAAGCGCGCGUAGGCGGCUUUUCAAGUCGAUUGUGAAAUCCCCGGGCUUAACCUGGGAACUGCAGUCGAGACUGUCUAGCUAGAGUAUGGGAGAGGGAAGUGGAAUUUCAGGUGUAGCGGUGAAAUGCGUAGAUAUCUGAAGGAACAUCAGUGGCGAAAGCGACUUCCUGGACCAAUACUGACGCUCAUGUGCGAAAGCGUGGGGAGCAAACAGG